rnacentral:rRNA from 1 species
GACGAACGCUGGCGGCGUGCUUAACACAUGCAAGUCGAACGGAAAGGCCCUGCUUUUGUGGGGUGCUCGAGUGGCGAACGGGUGAGUAACACGUGAGUAACCUGCCAUUGACUUUGGGAUAACUUCAGGAAACUGGGGCUAAUACCGGAUAGGAGCUCCUGCUGCAUGGUGGGGGUUGGAAAGUUUCGGCGGUUGGGGAUGGACUCGCGGCUUAUCAGCUUGAUGGUGGGGUAGUGGCUUACCAAGGCUUUGACGGGUAGCCGGCCUGAGAGGGUGACCGGCCACAUUGGGACUGAGAUACGGCCCAGACUCCUACGGGAGGCAGCGGUGGGGAAUAUUGCACAAUGGGCGGAAGCCUAAUGCAGCAACGCCGCGUGCGGGAUGACGGCCUUCGGGUUGUAAACCGCUUUCGCCUGUGACGAAGCGUGAGUGACGGUAAUGGGUAAAGAAGCACCGGCUAACUACGUG